rnacentral:rRNA from 1 species
UGAAUACGAGAUGCUACGGCGUCGAAGCAGUCUAUGUCAUACUUCCAAGAAAAGCUUGCACUGUCAUAAACAAAUAAUGCCUGUACCAUAACCGACACAGGUGGGUAGGUAGAGUAUACUAAGGGGCGCGAGAUAACUCUCUCUAAGGAACUCGGCAAAAUGACUCCGUAACUUCGGGAGAAGGAGUGCCUUAUUUAUAAGGUUGCAAUAACAAGAUCCAAGCAACUGUUUACCAAAAACACAGGUCUCCGCUAAGUCGUAAGACGAUGUAUGGGGGCUGACGCCUGCCCAGUGCCAGAAGGUUAAAGAAGUUGGUUAGCAUCCGCGAAGCUGAUAACUGAAGCCCUGGUGAACGGCGGCCGUAACAAUAACGGUCCUAAGGUAGCGAAAUUCCUUGUCGGGUAAGUUCCGACCCGCACGAAAGGCGUAAUGAUUUGGAUACUGUCUCGGAGAGGGGCUCGGUGAAAUAGACUUGUCUGUGAAGAUGCGGACUACCUGCACCAGGACAGGAAGACCCUAUGAAGCUUUACUGUAACCUGAAAUUGAAAUUGGACUUUACUUGCGCAGUAUAGGUGGGAGGCGUUGAGAAUAUUCUUGCGGGAUUAUUGGAGCCAUCAGUGAGAUACCACUCUUGUAAUGUUAGAUUUCUAACUUUGUAUCAUUAUCUGGUCAAAGAACAGUUUCAGGCGGGCAGUUUGACUGGGGCGGUCGCCUCCUAAACGGUAACGGAGGCGCACAAAGGUUUCCUCUGAACGGGUAGAAAUCGUAUCUAGAGUGUAAGGCAUAAGGAAGCUUGACUGUGAGACCUACAAGUCGAGCAGGGACGAAAGUCGGUCUUAGUGAUCUGACGGUGCUGAGUGGAAAGGCCGUCACUCAACGGAUAAAAGUUACUCUAGGAUAACAGGCUGAUCUCCCCCAAGAGUUCACAUCGACGGGGAGGUUUGGCACCUCGAUGUCGGCUCAUCGCAUCCUGGGGCGGUAGUACGUCCCGAGGGUUGGGCUGUUCGCCCAUGAAAGCGGUACGCGAGCUGGGUUCAGAACGUCGUGAGACAGUUCGGUCCAUAUCCGGUGUAGGCGUUAGAAUAUUGAGAGGAGCCUUCUUUAGUACGAGAGGACCGAGAAGGACAUACCUCUGGUGUACCAGUUAUCGUGCCAACGGUAAACGCUGGGUAGCUAUGUGUGGAGUGGAUAACCGCUGAAAGCAUCUAAGUGGGAAGCCCACCUCAAGAUAAGUAUUCGC